GGUGAACGCUGGCGGCGUGCUUAACACAUGCAAGUCGAACGAGAACGGGUUAUAGCUUGCUAUAAUUGUCAGCUAAGUGGCACACGGGUGAGUAAUGUAUAGGUAAUAUGCCUCUUACUAAGGGAUAACAAAUGGAAACGUUUGCUAAUACCUUAUACUCCUUAUUAACAUAAGUUAAUAAGGGAAAGAUUUAUUGGUAAGAGAUUAGCCUGUAUUGUAUCAGUUAGUUGGUGGGGUAAUGGCUUACCAAGACUAUGACACAUAACUGGUUUGAGAGGAUGAUCAGUCACACUGGAACUGAGACACGGUCCAGACUCCUACGGGAGGCAGCAGUGGGGAAUAUUGCACAAUGGACGAAAGUCUGAUGCAGCAACGCCGCGUGGAGGAUGACACAUUUCGGUGCGUAAACUCCUUUUAUAUGAGAAGAUAAUGACGGUAUUAUAUGAAUAAGCACCGGCUAACUCCGUGCCAGCCGCCGCAGUAA
rnacentral:rRNA from 1 species